rnacentral:lncRNA from 1 species
GUGAUUUACUGGGAAGUGUUUCUAGGAGAAACUGUUAAGGGUGUGAGGGAGGUAGGACAGAGCAAGGCAGAAGCCAAGUAAGGGGCUAGUUUCAGGCAAAGUCCUGGGGAGGGUGUAGUGAAUUCCUGCAGCGGCAUUGCUGAGUAGAAGAUGCAUCUCAGAAUUGUCUUGACCUGAGGGGAGGAGAUGGGCUUCCAUAUUUCCCUGCCAGUCCUGCGCUAGAGGAGGAAGGUAGGGAGGUACAGAGGUAAACUUCUAGGUGCUUCUGGCUCCCUGCUAUUGCAGCCCAAGCUGUGCCAGGACUCAAGAGCACCUAGUGGAAGACAGUCCUGCAUAGAGAACUUUGGAGUUAUAUGGCAAGUAUGUAGAGAAACCAGGACCGAGGCUCUAUUUUGUUUAACUCCAAAGCCCAUGUUAUUUCCCUUGGUUUUCGCUGUUUCUGAAUCACAAGAAAAUUACCUGCAGCCACUAGAUACAUGCCUUCAAAGAGCCAGAAACUUUGACAAGUGUUCUUAGUUGAAGGUUAAUGCAUUCAAGGCUGACUGGGAAUUGCUCACAGAUAAAAGAAUGGCCCUGUCUGAGAGAUAUGUUACCCUAAACACCAAGACUCAAUAUAUAUGACUUAAGAAAAAAAAGAUCCUUAUGCACUAUCUGAAGGUGAUGCUUCCUGACUUUUGCAACAGAAAGAAUGCUGUCUUCCUGUGCCUGCGGAGAUGAUAAUCAAGCUGGCACACUGACAAUCAAUGUAAAUUCAUUAAACAAAACAGGAAGUAAACAGGUAGGACAUCUUUCUCCUCUGUGCUCCUUCCUUUUCCUCAUGAGAGAAGAAUGGACUAACCUCAUUGAUUGAGAUUGUCAUGACAAUGUGUCUCCUCCCCUUUCCUUUCUGAUUCUGGGUUGAACCCCAAGGAAACAUGAUGAACCAGGUUGCAUGACUGUGAAGGCAGGAUAAAAGAAAAGCAGAAGAACCACAUUAAUCAUGGCAGACAUUGAUGAAGAAGGACAAUGAGGUUUUUCUGGUGGGUUUCUGGAGAAAUCAACUGUCAACAUUCUGCAAAACAAUCACUGACUCAAAAAACUCAAGAAGGGAGUAAAGAUAAUUAAUAAAGUAAGUUAAGUUGUAUUAUACCCACAAAUACAAACCAGUGGAAUCAUUUCUGGGUAACAUAUUGAGCUAAUAAAGUAGUAAAAAGGUGUCAAUGAUUUUAGGUAAAAGAUAUUGCCACCCCACUCUUCUUAUGUGGCGAUGCCUAAAGAAGAGAUCGCGCUGGCUGCAAUAAUGCCCCAAUGGUCAAGAUAUGCCAGUUAUUCAAAUUGGAAAAUCCAGGUAUAUUCAUGGAACUUACCAAUCUUUGGUUACUAGUAGGAAGUCUGCACAAGCAGCAACUACCACAGUUGUUCUAAAAACAGGGUGACAAAAGGCCACUCUUUCAGGCUAUGAAGACAUUUUGGCUUUUGUUUUCACAAUUAGAGACUCAGCAGCUUUCUGGACAGAAACUGCUGGAGUCCAGGCUAUGGCAUACUUGUUUCAUCUGCCCUCUCC